rnacentral:sRNA from 1 species
GCCAGGUGUGGUGGUGCACACCUGUAUUCCCAACUACUCAGGAGGCUGAGGUGGGAGGAUUGCUUGAGCCCAGGAGGUUGAGGUUGCAUUGAACCAAUCACGCCAUUGCCCUCUAGCCUGGACAACAGAGAGAGGGGAGACUCCAUCUUAAAAAAACGGCUGGGCACAGUGGCUCAUGCCUGUAAUCCCAGCACUUUGGGAGGCUGGGACGAGUGGAUCGCCUGAGGUCAGGAGUUCGAGACCAGCCUGGCCAACAUAGUGAAACCCCAUCUCU